rnacentral:rRNA from 1 species
AACGAACGCUGGCGGCAUGCCUAACACAUGCAAGUCGAACGAGACCUUCGGGUCUAGUGGCGCACGGGUGCGUAACGCGUGGGAACCUGCCCUUAGGUUCGGAAUAACUCAGAGAAAUUUGAGCUAAUACCGGAUAAUGUCUUCGGACCAAAGAUUUAUCGCCUUUGGAUGGGCCCGCGUAGGAUUAGCUUGUUGGUGGGGUAAUGGCCUACCAAGGCGACGAUCCUUAGCUGGUCUGAGAGGAUGAUCAGCCACACUGGGACUGAGACACGGCCCAGACUCCUACGGGAGGCAGCAGUGGGGAAUAUUGGACAAUGGGCGAAAGCCUGAUCCAGCAAUGCCGCGUGAGUGAAGAAGGCCUUAGGGUUGUAAAGCUCUUUUACCAGGGAUGAUAAUGGCAGUACCUGGAGAAUAAGCUCCGGCUAACUCCGUG